CACGGGAGCAGACCAGUUCCACGGCCCAGUAAGCCAGCAUUCCUCGAGGCAUUUGUACCAGCUCCUUGUUGUUUAUCACAGCGACGACCCUAAGACAGGAAUUGGUGACAGGGUCAGCACACAGAAGCUGUGUUCCAGGGGGCCUGAAGUUGCACCUCGCGCUGGCGGCUUGAAGUUGCACCUCGCGCUGGCGGCUGCACUUGGGAGUGUAAGCUCCAUCCAGGUGGUGCUGGUUUGGAGGCAGAACAGGGUCAGGAAGAACUGCUGAGUCACGGCACUGCGGGCACUGUGUGGCGGAACCAGAGUCCCUGAAGGGGAUUAGAACAGGGGCAUCGGUGAAAGGACAGGUCAGUUGCGGCAGAGACUCCAGCGUUUCGGAGAUGCCGGUACCAGGAAUGAUCCCCAGGGACAGCAGCAGUGGGGAGUGGAGCGAGCCGGAGCCUAGAAGACAAGCUGUGUGCUGCAGAGGGCAGAGGGGAGAAGCAGCAACCCGAGCCCUCAGGAGGAGCCCUGAGCAUUUGAGUUAAUCGCAGCCUCCCGGACGCUGAGGAGUGGAGGAAGCUGACCCUGUCAGCACAUUCCUGACUGAGCUCUAGAAACUCCAUCACUGUACUAAGCACACCAUGGCCCAGCACACCCCUCACCUCAUGAAGAAAUUGGCUCUGGGAAGUUGAUUCGUGGAGCCCACUGAAACUCCAAAGACAGGUAUUUGUAUGCUCAGAGGGCAACUUUAGAGUUCAGAGUCCCUUAAAACCCGAGUCACGAUUCUCUAAAAGCAAAACUUGAGACACGAUGCGUGAUGACCCAACUUUACGGAGCACAGGACGUCAGUUCUGCAAUUAACCUGGACCUCUUCCCAAACGCUCGGGAAAUUGCUGUUCCAGUUCCGAGAGUUGUGGACACCAGCUGCCAUGUCUAUUUCUGUUUUACAAUUUCGGUUGCUCUGAGCUUUGCAAUGAUGAGGUUGAGGCAGUUUCUAAGUGCGUCUACUCACAGCCUCUCCAGCCUCAGCUGGAGGGUGAUGGAGCUCUCCUGUGCUCACAUUCGAGAAUCUGCAAAGCAAGUGUCACUUUCUGUGGUGGUUUGAAUGAGACUGGCCCCCAUGGGUGGACAGAUUUGCAGGCAUCGUCCCCAGCUGAUGAAGUGUCAGGGGCGGAGUCGGAGGUGUGGCCUUGCUGGUGGAGGUGUGGCCGCAUUGGAGGAGAUGUGGUUUGUUCAAAGAGGUGCGUCACUGUGGGUGCACACUGAAGUUUCAAAAGCCCCCAGCAGGCCCAGUGUCUCCCGCUCCGUGGAUCAGGAUGUAGCUCAGCCGCUCUCCAGCCCCAUGCCUGCCUGCCACAGUAAUGACAAUGGACUAAACCUCUGAAACUUUAAGAAAGCCCCCAACUAAAUGCUGUAUAAGAGUCAUCUUGGUCAUCGUGAUAUCGCUUCCCAGCAAUAGAACAGCGACCAAGACAUCAUUUCAUGGCCUGAGGAUCCUGCACAGCCUAAGCCAAAGCAAACAGUGGAGCCGGCUAUGGUUGGCCUGCGUGUUCCCUAAAGAACGUAAACUCACUGAACUGCUCUGCGUGUCACUAACUUCUGGGUGCUACACGGAGGGUGAAGGCGGCACCCUGAGAGGGCCUGCGGGACUCCCGGCUGCUCUCCACCACAGCAGAUCUUUCACUCACCAGAGCAGAGUUCCUCAAAGUGUGGCCUCUUGUAUCCAGUCAUUUGGGUGAAAGUUGAUGUCUACUUCCCGAGGCUCGUUUGAGUUUUGGCACAAAACUGGACAAUCCUGGACCUAUGCGGAUCAUUCUUGCUGUUUCCUGUCGGCCGGAGCUGUGGGGUGUCCAGUACGCGCACCUGGCUUGUUCUCCCUGUUGUUGAGACCUGCACUGCUAGGUGAGAUGCAGAGGUGAGGUCACUACGGGGAGGGCCGUGGGCUACAGCAGCCACCCUUUCUCUAUACAGAGUUCAGCUUGCUCUGCAGCGCGGUGGGACUAAGUGUAUUGCAAAGUAGAGAGCAAGCCCCAAAAGGUAAGGGGUUUAGGGGCACAGGCUCAAUUGUGCUACGAUAGCCCAAGAUUCUCAUAUUUGGCAGUCAGCAUGUACUACACUGAUGUCACAAACCUCCCCAAGCCAGGCACCUUAAAACAACAGAAAUCUAGUCUAUGUGUCUGGAAAGUAGACAUUCAAGAUGAAGGUUGUCGGUAAGCCCACGUGUCCCCCCCUCCCCCCUCCGAAGGCUGCAGGAAAGACCUUCUGUAUGCUUCUCCUAGCAAACCCCGGCAUUUUGGGCUACUGGCUCAGGACCUCAACAUGCCUGUGCAGUCACAAGGCUGUCUGUGCUCCUCUUCUGAGAACACUGGCUAAGGUCAGGAGUAGAUGGAUCUUCCUCCUUUCUUCCAAGGGAUCAAAACCGGGUUAGUUUUCAUUUCUAGACCACCAUGCCCGAGGCUGCUUGUGUUUGUGCUGAUUCUGGGCUAAGCCUGUCACUGAUACCCCAGGGUUUAAAUGAGUGCUCACAGCUUAGACGAACAUCACAGACGUUUCCUGAUGGCUCACACAUCAAAACAUGACAAGAAAGGCUAUUUUUGAGGUAUUUCCUGCUGAAUCAAUCCUAGGAAGUAGUAUCUUAGGGAUCCCCCCAAUCUUGUUCCUCCUCCCUCCCCAAUCUCCUAUCCCAUUUCCUGUUUGAGGAAAAAAAAAAAGCCAUUCUAGUAGGUGCAGGGGUGGGGAUGUUCAGAACAAUGAGGCCCACAGGCUGGCCUUCUGAAACGCAUUAAGGAGUGUGUAACCACAGUGGCCUGAACCACUCAACUCAGAGCUUCCUAACCGGGACAGGGACGUUUUUAACUGGUUAUAUGAAGAAAGAGAUUUGCCACCUCGUGAGGCUGCUGGCUCGUCACUUGGCGAUGCCACAGGGCUGGAGUGGGUGAGAACCUCUGGGUUGCGCUCCCUCUCUACCUCUUCUAGGCCACUUUGUUGCGGGAGCACUGGACUGACACCUCUGCAUGCUCUUCUCUGGCAGUCUUCCGUUUGUAACUUUUCAGGUGGGGUCUUGUCACCUACCUCCCCUCCCCUCCCCUCCCCCCCACUCCCACCCCCCAGCCCGUGCAGGGCUCACAGAUUUGUGUCAAGGUCUCCCACCUUGUCUUUUUCAGGGCAUAGCUUCCUCUACAGUUUUCAAACCAAUUAGUUUUGUUCUUUCUCCCCUUUUCUCUACAUUUCUUGUCCUUAAAAACUCAGCUCAGGGCUGGAGAGGUGGCUCAGAGGGUAAGAGCACUGGCUGCUCUUCCAGAGGUCCUGAGUUCAAUUCCCAGCAACCACAUGGUGGCUCACAACCAUCUGUAAUGAGACCUGGUGCCUUCCAUGCCAGCAGUACAUUGUAUGCUUAAU